UAACCCUUUCCUUCUCGGCCACGUUUAAAAUUUUUCAAACGAGGGCGCCAGGCGGGACGCAGAGCCGGGGGAGCCCGGUUAUCCUGGAUAAUCUGGAUGGACCAGGAUCCUUGUACAGAAACAAGGGAGGCAAGAGGGUCUGAGAAGUUGUGACAAAGGAAGCAAAGAUCAGAGUGAUCUGGAGCCACGAGCCAAGGAAUGUGGGCAGCUUCCAGAAGCUGGAAAAGGCAAGGAAGUGAAUUCUUCUCUGAGCUUCCAGAAGGAGCCAGCCCUGCCAACCCAUUUUGGUCCUUACCGUGGAACCUGCCCUGAUGAUUUGCAGUUAUUCCAUAUACUUAAUCUCUCCACACCUCCCACUGCACCCCCAAAAGCCUUGACCCCCUGUAAAGAGUAUCUUUUUUAAAAAAAAUUUUUUUACACUUUU